CACGUAGGGUGCGAGCGUUUGUCCGGAAUUAUUGGGCGUAAAGAGCUCGUAGGCGGUGUGUCGCGUCGGCCGUGAAAACCUGUAGCUCAACUGUGGGCUUGCGGUCGAUACGGGCAUCACUGGAGUUCGGCAGGGGAGACUGGAAUUCCUGGUGUAGCGGUGAAAUGCGCAGAUAUCAGGAGGAACACCAAUUAGCGAAGGCAGCUUGCUGGGACGUAACUGACACUGAGGCGCGAAAGCGUGGGGAGCGAACAGG
rnacentral:rRNA from 1 species